UGUAAGCGUAUACCAAAGUUGUUGCAGUUAAAACGCUCGUAGUCGGAAUUUGGCAGUUCCGGAUGUGUGCGCGUCGUGUGCGCACUUCGCGGGGAUUGCUUUUGUGGUCUUGCGUAGGAUGAGGCACUUUUAUUGGUGAACGUCCUCACGCAACCACUUUUUACUGUGAGAAAAUCAGAGUGCUCAAAGCAGGCAUUUGCCGUGAAUGUAUUAGCAUGGAAUAAUAGAAUAGGACUUGGUUCUAUUUUGUUGGUUUGUUGGGACUGAGUAAUGAUUAAGAGGGACAGUUGGGGGCAUUUGUAUUUCGGUGCUAGAGGUGAAAUUCUUAGAUUACCGAAAGACAAACUGCUGCGAAAGCGUCUGCCAAGGAUGUUUUCAUUGA
rnacentral:rRNA from 1 species